GAUGAACGCUAGCGGCAGGCCUAACACAUGCAAGUCGAGGGGCAUCGGGAUUGAAGCUUGCUUCAAUUGCCGGCGACCGGCGCACGGGUGCGUAACGCGUAUGUAACCUACCUAUAACAGGGGCAUAACACUGAGAAAUUGGUACUAAUUCCCCAUAAUAUUCGGAGAGGCAUCUCUCCGGGUUGAAAACUCCGGUGGUUAUAGAUGGACAUGCGUUGUAUUAGCUAGUUGGUGAGGUAAUGGCUCACCAAGGCAUCGAUGGGUAGGGGUUCUGAGAGGAAGGUCCCCCACAUUGGAACUGAGACACGGUCCAA
rnacentral:rRNA from 1 species